CCUCAGCUUCCGGAGCAGCUGGGACUGCUGGCGCCCGCCACUACGCUCGGCUAAUUUUUUUGUGUUUUUAGUAGAGACGGGCUUUCACCGUGUUGGCCUAGCGGUUCUCCAACUCCUGACCUCAUGAUCCCCCCGCCUCAGCCUCCCAAAGUGCUGGGAUUACAAGCGUGAGCCACCGCGACCCGCCAACACUCUUGACAACAGUGCUGUGCUAAGAACUUGGGGGACUUCAAAAAGUUCACCAGUUCCUGUGUCCAUGGGUGAAAAGAUUUUCUACAUCUUUCCUUGACUAGAAACAGAAGUCCUGAAACAAGGUACACCUUCUUGAGGCUUACUUGAAUAUAACGUCAGGAGGCCAGAGGCUUUGUCCUGCCUAAUGUGUUAUUUCCACACUGAAUAAAAGCACCUGAGUCCUGGUUCUGGAGAUUGGGGCAUGAUAUCUUCCUUGGGCCAUUACUUGUCCUGCCACUUGGAAUAGGUGCUUAUAAGCCACCUCUAAGAUAAUGAAUAACUUGCAAUUUGAUCCGUGAUUUACAUAACGUGUAUGUUUUUCCUGUUUGCAAAGGCAUAUGGCAAGGGAGUAAAGCCAAACUUUUUACCACAUGGCAAAAAUAAUUGUAUUUUGCAACAGACUAAAAGCUUAAUGCUAUACAGACUUUGGGUUGGUGGAGUUACUUGAGGAUUUACUCCAGCAAAACAAAAAAAAGAAUGAAAGAAAGAGAAAGAUAAAAAUAUGAAAGAAGCAACAGACCUAUUCCAGAAAUGUAAUGAAAAAAGGCCACGAAGUUUGACAACUAUGUAUUAAAUUUACAAUCAGUCCAAAUUAGACUGGUAGUCAGAUUGAUAUGAGAAGUACAUUUUCAAAAAGAUGUACUAUACCAAAUAAUAUGAGUGCAAAACUCUGGAUGAUUUUAGUAAUAAUGUGAAGACACAUAUUUCUUUUGACAAUUAAAAAAAAGAAAAUGAAUUGGAAACUUCAGGAAACGUCAGAAAAUACAAAAUGCUCUGUAGGAAGUAAUUGUCUAAAUGAGAGGUGAAGCCAGUGGGACUUCCUGGAUUGGAUGGGGACUUGGAGAACUUUUCUGUCUAGCUAAAGGAUUGUAAACACACCAAUCAGUGCUCUGUGUCUAGCUAAAGGAUCGCAAAUGCACCAAUCAGCACUCUGUAAAAAUUCUGUGUCUAGCUAAAGGUUUGUAAAUGCACCAAUCAGCAAUCUGUUAGAAUGCACCAAUCAGUGCUCUGUGUCUAGCUAAAGGUUUGUAGAUGCACCAAUCAGCACUCUGUAAAAACGCAUCAAUCAGCGUUCUGUGUCUAGCUAAAGGUUUGUAGACACAUCAAUCAGCACUCAGUAAAAACGCACCAAUCAGCACUCUGUAAAAUGGACCAGUCAGCGCUCUGUAAAAUGGACCAAUCAGCAGGAUGUGGGCGGAGCCAAUAAGGGAAUAAAAGCUGGCCACCAGAGCCAGCCAGUGGCAACCUGCUUGGGUCCCCUUCCACCCUGUGGAAGCUUUAUUCUUUUGCCCUUCACAAUAAAUCUUGCUGCUGCUUACUCUUUGGGUCUACAUUACCUUUAUGAGCUGUAUCGCUCACCAUGAGGGUCUGCGGCUUCACUCCUGAGGUCAGCGAGACCACGAACCCACUGGGAGGAACAAACAACUCCAGAAGCACAACCUUUAAGAGCUGUAACACUCACUGUGAAGGUCUGUGGCUUCACUCCUGAAGUCAGCGAGACCACGAACCCACCAGAAGGAAGAAACUCCGGACACAUCUGAAAUCUGAAGAAACAAACUCUGGACACACCAUCUUUAAGAACUGUAACACUCACUGCGAGGGUCCCCGACUUCAUUCUUAAAGUCAGUGAGACCAAGAACCCACUGGAAGGAACCAAUUCUGGGCACAUAAAUAUGCAGCAAAAUACAAUAUGGUAUGAUUUUGAGCAAUUGAUGAAUAUGUAGAAAAAUUAUUCAAUCCUGAUGUUUGAAAUAUGCUACUUUGAGUAGCAGCCUUGUAGUGACCUAAAUGUAUUUCUGUAGAUAAAAUUGAACUAUGUGGUACUAUAGUGAAUAAUGUGUGUUACAAUAUAAUAGCAUGCACAAUUGUAUAUAUGAAGUUUAGAACACUUCUACAUUUUAAUAUCUGUAAUAUGAUUAUACUCAUAUAUGUGUACUCAGAUUUUAAAACAUAAUAAAAU
rnacentral:lncRNA from 1 species